GACGAACGCUGGCGGCGCGCCUAAUACAUGCAAGUCGAGCGAGAACCAGGGCUUGCCCUGGGGAGAGCGGCGAACGGGUGCGUAUCACGUGAGCAACCUGCCUCAGAGACCGGGAUAACUCGAGGAAACUCGGGCUAAUACCGGAUGCCCUCGGUGGAUCGCAUGGUCCGGCGAGGAAAUGGAUUCCGCUCUGAGAUGGGCUCGCGGCCUAUCAGCUUGUUGGUGGGGUAACGGCCUACCAAGGCGACGACGGGUAGCUGGUCUGAGAGGACGAUCAGCCACCCUGGGACUGAGACACGGACCAGACUCCGCCGGGAGGCAGCAGUAGGGAAUCGUGGGCAAUGGGGGAAACCCUGACGCAACGACGCCGCGUGCGGGAUGAAGGCCUUCGGGUCGUAAACCGCUUUCAGCAGGGACGAAAUUGACGGUACCUGCAGAAGAAGGCCCGGCCAACUACGUGCCAGCAGCCGCCGCCGUAA
rnacentral:rRNA from 1 species